CCUACGGGGUGCACCAGUGGGGAAUAUUGCACAAUGGGCGCAAGCCUGAUGCAGCCAUGCCGCGUGUAUGAAGAAGGCCUUCGGGUUGUAAAGUACUUUCAGCGGGGAGGAAGGUGUUGUGGUUAAUAACCGCAGCAAUUGACGUUACCCGCAGAAGAAGCACCGGCUAACUCCGUGCCAGCAGCCGCGGUAAUACGGAGGGUGCAAGCGUUAAUCGGAAUUACUGGGCGUAAAGCGCACGCAGGCGGUUGAUUGAGUCAGAUGUGAAAUCCCCGGGCUUAACCCGGGAAUUGCAUCUGAUACUGGUCAGCUAGAGUCUUGUAGAGGGGGGUAGAAUUCCAUGUGUAGCGGUGAAAUGCGUAGAGAUGUGGAGGAAUACCGGUGGCGAAGGCGGCCCCCUGGACAAAGACUGACGCUCAGGUGCGAAAGCGUGGGGAGCAAACAGGAUUAGAUACCCUCGUAGUC
rnacentral:rRNA from 1 species